UACGAAGGGGGCUAGCGUUGCUCGGAAUCACUGGGCGUAAAGGGUGCGUAGGCGGGUCUUUUAAGUCAGGGGUGAAAUCCUGGAGCUCAACUCCAGAACUGCCUUUGAUACUGAGGAUCUUGAGUUCGGGAGAGGUGAGUGGAACUGCGAGUGUAGAGGUGAAAUGCGCAGAUAUCAGGAAGAACACCCGUGGCGAAGGCGGCUUUCUGGGACGGUACUGACGCUGGAGACGCGAAAGCGUGGGGAGCGAACAGG
rnacentral:rRNA from 1 species